rnacentral:rRNA from 1 species
AGUGAACGCUGGCGGUAGGCCUAACACAUGCAAGUCGAACGGCAGCACAGUAAGAGCUUGCUCUUACGGGUGGCGAGUGGCGGACGGGUGAGGAAUACAUCGGAAUCUACUUUUUCGUGGGGGAUAACGUAGGGAAACUUACGCUAAUACCGCAUACGACCUACGGGUGAAAGCAGGGGAUCUUCGGACCUUGCGCGAUUGAAUGAGCCGAUGUCGGAUUAGCUAGUUGGCGGGGUAAAGGCCCACCAAGGCGACGAUCCGUAGCUGGUCUGAGAGGAUGAUCAGCAACACUGGAACUGAGACACGGUCCAGCCUCCUACGGGAGGCAGCAGUGGGGAAUAUUGGACAGUGGGCGCAAGCCUGAUCCAGCCAUACCGCGUGGGUGAAGAAGGCCUUCGGGUUGUAAAGCCCUUUUGUUGGGAAAGAAAAGCAGCAGGUUAAUACCCCGCUGUUCUGACGGUACCAAAAGAAUAAGCACCGGCUAACUUCGU